GGCCGGUCGCCGGUGGCCAAGCACUCAAGGGAAGAGAGAGAGAGAAAUGAGGGUCCGAUCUCAGAGAUAAGAUGCCGCAAUCGGCGGCGCCGGUGGUCGGAAAAGAGAGGAAAGGGCCCGGUCGAAACAGAGCAAAACAUGAUUCACCCUUUUUCAUGGAUUUUCCGGCGAUCCCGAAGGCCGGCGAGGGUGCACGAAGCCAUGAAAAGGAGGGGA
rnacentral:lncRNA from 1 species